GGGGGGGGCAAGCGUUGUUCGGAAUUACUGGGCGUAAAGGGCUCGUAGGCGGCCAACUAAGUCCGACGUGAAAUCCCCAGGCUCAACCUGGGAAACUGCGUCGGAUACUGGAUGGCUUGAAUUCGGGAGAGGGAUGCAGAAUUCCAGGUGUAGCGGUGAAAUGCGUAGAUAUCUGGAGGAAUACCGGUGGCGAAGGCGGCACCCUGGACCGAGAUUGACGCUGAGGAGCGAAAGCUAGGGGAGCAAACGGGAUUAGAUACCCCGGUAGUCCUAGCCCUAAACGAUGAAUGCUUGGUGUGACGGGUAUCGAUCCCUGUCGUGCCGAAGCUAACGCAUUAAGCAUUCCGCCUGGGGAGUACGGUCGCAAGGCUG
rnacentral:rRNA from 1 species